UACGUAGGGCGCAAGCGUUGUCCGGAAUUAUUGGGCGUAAAGAGCUCGUAGGUGGUUGGUCGCGUCUGCCGUGAAAACCCAUGGCUUAACUGUGGGCUUGCGGUGGAUACGGGCCGACUUGAGGUAGGUAGGGGAGAAUGGAAUUCCCGGUGUAGCGGUGAAAUGCGCAGAUAUCGGGAGGAACACCGGUGGCGAAGGCGGUUCUCUGGGCCUUACCUGACGCUGAGGAGCGAAAGCGUGGGGAGCGAACAGG
rnacentral:rRNA from 1 species